UACGGAGGGUGCAAGCAUUGAUCGGAAUUACUGGGCGUAAAGGGCGCGUAGGCGGUAGUAUAAGUCGGAUGUGAAAUUCCGGGGCUCAACCCCGGAGCUGCAUUUGAAACUGUACAACUAGAGGACAGUUAGGGUAAACGGAAUUCCACGUGUAGCGGUGAAAUGCGUAGAUAUGUGGAAGAACACCAGUGGUGAAGACGGUUUACUGGGCUGUAACUGACGCUGAGGCGCGAAAGCGUGGGGAGCAAACAGG
rnacentral:rRNA from 1 species